GAAAAAAUAAAUGUCUAUUAGUCAAAUAGAAUGUCACACAGAAUAUCAAAGCAGAUUGUUAAGUGUUACAGAUCCCGGAACACACACAGCUAUACAAGCUGAGAUAAAAAACCAGAAAAACAAAAAAGAACCCAGAAAAAAUACAUCAAGGUAGCAGAACAUGACUACCAAAAGAAACACCAGAAUAUCCAUCAUAGCACAUCAUCAGAAGAGUGGGGGACAACUUCAACAAAACUAGUC
rnacentral:lncRNA from 1 species